AUGAAAUUGAGUUCACAUUUUCACUAGAGGAACAUCAAAUAUUACUUGUCAAUGCCUUCGAAGGUAGAAACUUUUUGGUUCAAUAUCCGGAAGUUUGUUACGAAAAUUUUUUCAAAUGGGUUCAAUCUGACACGUUUACCAAUUCUACAGAAGAACGGAAAUACUUGGAAAUAUACAUUCUGGACAUAUUCCAUAUUUCGGUUCGUGGUUUGAUCAGUUUUGAUUGGCUGGUUAAAAUUUUAAACAGCCAAUCACUGCUUAAACAGAAGGGAUUAUUGGGCGACCAAGGUAAUCACGAGCUGAACUUUUUCCUGACUUGCGUGGACUACUUUUUCUUUCAAACUCUAUCAGGCGAUGACUUGAAGUAUGUAGAGUAUUCGUGCAAAUGGAGACCAUGGUUCCAGCUUGAAUCGCCCAGAGGGCUAUGGAGUCAAGACUGCGAAAAGAAAAAGGAACUGAUCAGGACGCACAAUAAAACCCCUAGAGAAAAUUGUGCCAGUUGGAUACAUUUGUUUGCAGAUGACUUCAAGAAGAGUCUGCGAAAACUUCCUCCAAUCGAGUGAGAGAAGAACAUAUUUUGUUCGUCACCCGAAAAUAUAAUUUUAGUGGAAAGAACAAACCGUUAAAA